GAUGAACGCUGGCGGCGUGCCUAAUACAUGCAAGUCGAGCGAACAGACGAGGAGCUUGCUCCUCUUACGUUAGCGGCGGACGGGUGAGUAACACGUGGAUAACCUACCUAUAAGACUGGGAUAACUUCGGGAAACCGGAGCUAAUACCGGAUAAUAUAUUUAACCGCAUGGUUCAAUAGUGAAAGACGGUUUUGCUGUCACUUAUAGAUGGAUCCGCGCCGCAUUAGCUAGUUGGUAAGGUAACGGCUUACCAAGGCAACGAUGCGUAGCCGACCUGAGAGGGUGAUCGCCCACACUGGAACUGAGACACGGUCAAGACUCCUACGGGAGGCAGCAGUAGGGAAUCUUCGGCAAUGGGGGAAAGCCUGACGGAGCAACGCCGCGUGAGUGAUGAAGGUCUUCGGAUCGUAAACCUCUGUUAUUAGGGAAGAACAAAUGUGUAAGUAACUAUGCACGUCUUGACGGUACCUAAUCAGAAAGCGACGGCUAACUACGUG
rnacentral:rRNA from 1 species